rnacentral:misc_RNA from 1 species
CUGUAAUGGAGAAACUGAAAGAUACAUAAAUACUUGCUUGCUACCUCAAGUCUAAUCUUUGGAUAGAAGAGUUUCACAUGUUGACCUUUACAGACUUCAACAAACUUUAAUUACAUUGUUAAUACCAAAUUCAUGGAAGCAAGUGAAUAGCAGCUUGAUAGACGACAGCACAAGUGCCAUAAGGACCAAUUUCCAGAAAUGCUCCUCUAGCAAAACACAAUAUAGUUUGAGCUGUAUAUAUUUUACCAAAAAUUACUUCUAAGGCUAAACUGUAAUUUUCAUUAUUAGAGAUAGGAAAACCUCAAGAUAUUUUCUCAAUUGUAAUCACCAUCACAAAUUACGGACACCAAACAGUUUUGGUAUACAAGUGUUAUUUUUUAUUUUUU